AGAUUAAGUUAUUAAGGGCGCACGGUGGAUGCCUUGGCACUAGAAGCCGAUGAAGGACGUUACUAACGACGAUAUGCUUUGGGUAGCUGUAAGUAAGCGUUGAUCCAGAGAUUUCCGAAUGGGGGAACCCAGCACGAGUUAUGUCGUGUUAUCGACAAGUGAAUUCAUAGCUUGUCAG
rnacentral:rRNA from 2 species